UUCUUCUCUUCAAAUCUUAUCUCUUUGACAAUAAUGGCCAUUUCCAGUUCUGCAGACUGGUCUUUCGCUUCAACCACUAACUGCUGUAGAAGAAGAACCCACCAGCUUCUUCAUACUCUUAUACCCACUUCUCAAUUCGCUUCCUUUUCCUCUAUUCCUCACUCAAACCCUCGAUUCUUCACUGUCAGGUUCUCAGACUCGCCCACUCCGAUCUUGGAAGAAGAAGCAUCUCAACCCAAUGUUCCUGUAAUCCAAUUCGAUGUGAAGUUUUCAGAUGAUGCGUUGCAGUACUCAAAGCCUUCUGGUGCUGAGAAUCUGAAUGAGUUCGUGUGUGGGUUGUUUGAAGAUCCUCAAACGGAGGAACUUGGGUAUGAAUACUAUCAAAGAUUGAAAGAGAGGCCUGAGUUUAGGCCAGAGGCAUCAACUUUAGAGCUUGUGAUCAGGUAUUUGUUGAGAUUAAAGAAAUGGAGCUCCGUUUUAUCUGUUUGUGAAGACUUGAAGAUUUAUUCUGUGUUGCCUGAUGUAGCUACAUGUUCUAGAUUGAUUAGUAAAUGCAUAAGAUCUAGAAAGUUCAGGAUUUCUGAGGCAUAUCUUGAUGUUUUCCAAGAUUCUGAAAGUACUGAAGUUGCUGUUUCAGCUUUUGAUUCUGCCAUGAGAAGCUACAAUAAGCUUCAUAUGCAUAGGAGCACCGUUUUAGUCUUUGAAAGAAUGAAAUCCACCAAAUUAGCUGUUUCAGAUUAUUCCAGAUGCUAUCUACACGUUAUGGAGGCUUACAUGAAACUUGGAGAUAGUGACAAAGUGGUCCAGUUGUUUCAAGAACUUGAAAAAGAACAGUCAUUAGUUACUUCAAAAAGAUAUUUAUCUCUGAUAUAUGGGAUUUUAUGUCAGUCAUUGGGCCAAUCAGGACGAGCAUUCGAAGCUCUAAAGUACUUCAGGGACAUGAAUAAAAGAGGGGUUGUUAAAGAUUCUAUAUAUUCUACAUUAAUAUGCUCCUUUGCGAGUUUGCGCGAGGUAGAUGUAGCCGAGGAGCUUCUGAGAGAAGCAAAGAACAAAACAAUGAUAAAAGAUCCAGAGGUGUACUUCAAGCUUGUGUUGAUGCAUGUUGAAGAAGGUUUAAUGGAGAAGACUCUCGAAGUAGUUAAAACAAUGGAGAAUGCAGGUGUCAAGGUUACUGACUGUAUACUAUGUGCUAUUAUCAAUGGCUUCAGCAAGAGGAGAGGAUUUAGAGCCGCUAUCAGUGUUUAUGAGCAACUAGUUUCCAAGGGUCAUGAACCAGGACAGGUCACCUAUGCAUCAAUCAUAAAAGCUUACUGUCGUCUUGGCCAAUAUACUGAAGCGGAGAAGGUUUUUUCAGAAAUGGAGCAAAAGGGGUUUGAUAAAUGUAUUGUGGCCUAUUCAAGCAUGGUUGUCAUGUAUGGAAGAACAGGGAAGCUAAGAGAAGCCACGAGGCUUGUGGCCAAGAUGAAAGAAAGAGGGUGUAAUCCAAAUGUGUGGAUCUACAAUUCUUUGAUAGACAUGCAUGGGAAGGCUAAGGAUUUGAGGCAGGUUGAGAAGCUAUGGAACGAAAUGAAGCGAAGGAAAGUCGCUCCGGAUAAGGUUACUUAUACGAGCAUCAUUGUGGCAUAUAGCAAGGCAAGAGAGUUUGAAAAAUGCAUCAAGUUUUUCGAGGAGUACAGAAUGAAUGGUGGAGAGAUUGAUAGGGCCAUGGCAGGCAUGAUGGUGAUGGUUUUCUCAAAGGUUGGUCAAGUUGAUGAACUCGUAAAACUAUUAAGGGACAUGAAGAUGGAAGGAACAGGAUUGGAUGAAAGGUUGUAUCAGUCUUCUUUGAAGGCUUUAACUGAAGCUGGAAUGCAAGUACAUGCCAGGUGGUUGCAAGAGAGAUUCAAAGUAACAUGAGGUUGGAUUCCUGAUUUCCUUCCAAUAAUUGAAAGAUCCAAUGAAGAGAAAGAUGGACAGACUAGUGAGAUCCACCUCUCAGGUAGGUCCCUACACUUUCUUUGUUCUAUCUCUUGAAUACUCCUUCCAAUCACUAGAGGGGAUCCAGAUUCAGUCAAAAGUGAAGAUGGAAACACAAGAAAUUCUCUGGUAUGUAUAAAUUGCAAUGUCUACCUCCCUUGGGAGUUGAAGCUUCCAAAUCAAACCAUGUGUUUGAGCAUCCCUUGUGAUUUAAGUGAAGGCUAGCCAAAGCUAGAGUAAAAGGUUACACCAAAAGCAGCAGCCAAGGGAUCAGUGGGACAAACCGCCGCUAUAGUCUAGCAUUAGCAAAUGUUCACAUUCUUUAGGGGGAUCAUGAAGUAACAUCAGCUCACUUGAAGAAUUUUGAGCCAUGUGAGCCAAAAAAUCAAUACAAACCAUCACCUCACAUGGGGCAUAAAGAAGCUUGAGAUUGCUAUGGUUAGCAAUCAUCUCUUGUACUUUAGAAACAUCCUCAUAAUAAGGCUGGGCAACAUGAACUCCUCAAUAGACAUAGAGGAUGGCAUCGAGAGAAUUAGAAUAAAACUGUCGGUUCAAAAUUCAAACUUAGGCUUAGUUGUACACCAUAUUUGAUAGCUUUAAUUUCUGCAAUAGUAAUUGGGAGAUGGCCCAAAUUGCAAAUAAACCCUUUCAGCUACUCGCCUUUCGAGUUUCGCACUAAACUACCAUAGGCUGAACAAUUCUCAGAUUUUGUUUCUAAUAACUAAAUUACUGAAAUUGCAUAAAAUCAGUUGUGAAUUUAAGGCAAA